AUGUGGCAUGGAGAGAGAAGCACAAGCACAGGUAACAUCACAGUUCCAAAAUUUGGUCUCUGCUGCAAGGAAGGGAAAGUUAAAUUACCACCACUGAAGCAAGCUCCGCUGUAUCGCCGACAGCUACUAUGUUACAAUGAAAAAGGAGAAUCAUCAAAUUUUCGCCAGAACAUCAGGUUGUACAACUCGAUGUUCGCAUUCACUCCAAUGGGAGGAAAGGUUGACUAUGAAAUUAAUAAGCAGGCAUCUAGACCGUAUGUUUUCCGUUUGAAUGGCAAGAAUUACCAUCAGAUUGGCACUUUACUUCCUAAGGAUGACGUAACGAAACCAAAAUUUGCCCAAUUGUACAUACAUGACACAGAAAAUGAAGUGUGGAAUAGGAUUAAUGCAUCUGCUUCAACGGAGAGUAAGACACAACCAGAUGAAAACAUUGUCAAAGGACUACUGGAGAUGCUUGAUGAGCACAAUGUUUUAGUCAAAUCAUUUCGUAUGGCAAGGGACAGAUUCCAAAACCGACGUAUUAAAGAUGUAAGACUAAGAUUGAUCAACAAAAGGUCGAAAGAUGGACGGCAAUACAACCUACCAUCUGCCUCAGAAGUCGCAGCACUAAUUAUUGGGGAACAAGAUGGAGAAAAUAAUUUUGAUAUAAUAGUUGAGACCAAAGACAGAAUGUUGUAG
rnacentral:rRNA from 1 species